GUUAAACACUCUGAAUAUUUAUCGUUUCCAUUUCACACAAAAACUUCUGAACAGCUUUAAAGUUAUCUUUGUGAAAAGAUUGUGAAGCAUCGACGAGUUUCAAAAAAAUUUCGCCAUUUUCUUUAAACUCGGAAUUAGCAAAAAAAAAAAACUCAGCAAAUACACUAAAGCCAACAAACUUGCAGAAUGAUAGCACUACUGUGCGCACUUUUGUUAGAUUUAAAUCAACUAGUGAUAAAACUUUACAUACAAGCUUAGUUACAGCUCCUGACUUUUGCGUGGAUAGCAGAGUUGACAAAAAUGUUUGUACACUUAACUUCCAAUAGAUGUUAUGAAUGCGGCGUACAAAAAAGAGCGAAACAGAUCCGGAAAGUAGCAGAAUUAAAUAACGAAGGCGAAAGUUCGUCAGUUUCGAACACUACUUUAAUCGAAAUAUGCAAUUUAAAAG